UGAGGAAUAUUGGGCAAUGCCCGCAAGGGUGACCCAGCAACGCCGCGUGGAGGAUGAAUGUCGUAAGAUUGUAAACUCCUGUUAGAGGGGAAGAAUAGUACCGGUUGGACCGGUAUAUGACUGUACCCUCAGAGAAAGCCCCGGCUAACUACGUGCCAGCAGCCGCGGUAAUACGUAGGGGGCAAGCGUUGUCCGGAUUUACUGGGUGUAAAGGGCGCGCAGGCGGGAUAAAAAGUCAGUGGUGAAAUCCUACAGCUUAACUGUAGAACUGCCUUUGAUACUUUUAUUCUUGAGUUCGGGAGAGAGAGACGGAAUUCCAGGUGUAGUGGUGAAGUACGUAGAUAUCUGGAAGAACACCAGUUGCGAAGGCGGUCUCUUGGUCCGACACUGACGCUGAGGCGCGAAAGCGUGGGGAGCAAACA
rnacentral:rRNA from 1 species